rnacentral:rRNA from 1 species
GACGAACGCUGGCGGCGUGCCUAAUACAUGCAAGUAGAACGCACAGUUUAUACCGUAGCUUGCUACACCAUAGACUGUGAGUUGCGAACGGGUGAGUAACGCGUAGGUAACCUGCCUGGUAGCGGGGGAUAACUAUUGGAAACGAUAGCUAAUACCGCAUAAUAUUAAUUAUUGUAUGAUAAUUAAUUGAAAGGUGCAAUUGCACCACUACCAGAUGGACCUGCGUUGUAUUAGCUAGUAGGUGAGGUAACGGCUCACCUAGGCGACGAUACAUAGCCGACCUGAGAGGGUGAUCGGCCACACUGGGACUGAGACACGGCCCAGACUCCUACGGGAGGCAGCAGUAGGGAAUCUUCGGCAAUAGACGAAAGUCUGACCGAGCAACGCCGCGUGAGUGAAGAAGGUUUUCGGAUCGUAAAGCUCUGUUGUAAGAGAAGAACGGGUGUGAGAGUGGAAAGUUCACACUGUGACGGUAUCUUACCAGAAAGGGACGGCUAACUACGUG